GGGCAGAGGGGAACUCAAAGGGCCCCCAGGGUGAUCAGCUUCUGCGUUAUUGGGGGAGGGGGCCGGGUGGACCCCGCUUCACAUAAGAUGUGCAGCCCUGAAGGGGUCAGGGUUUCUGGGCAGCUGCUGAGCCAAAUUAAAUACCACCUCCCUCUGAGUCUGUGAGAGAGGACACACGGCUGGGAAGAGCCCCCCACCCCGCACCAUGUCUGACUCCAGCCUACCCCACGUGCACC
rnacentral:lncRNA from 1 species